AUGGAGAAGGAGAGGAAGCAGGGGUUCUUCGCCGCCCUGAAGGAGGAGGUGGUGCGGGGGCUGUCGCCGGCGAGGUCCCGCGGGAAGACCCCGGCGAGGAGCGCGUCGCCGGCCAGAAUGCUGAUCCCGCGCCGUCGCAAGGCGCCGCCGCCGCCGCCGGAGAAGCAGAUGGAGCAGCAGCAGUACCUCCCGGAGCAGCUCAUCGCGCGCUCUGGCAGCCUCCGACCGGGUGGCGAGGUGCUCGAGCCGCUCAUUGAGGGCCCCGAUGCCGACCGCCUCGCCGCCGGCGACUUCGUCGGAGAGGACUCCGGCCGGCGGGAGGGGUUCGGGCACUGGGUCCGCGGCCACCUGACGCGCACGCCGUCCAUGGCCUCCGCCUCCGCCGGCCCUGGCGGCUCGAGCGGCUCGUUCCGGCACUCCGACCUCCGCCUCCUCCUCGGCGUCAUGGGCGCGCCGCUCGCGCCCAUCUCGUCCAACCUGGCCGACCCGCUGCCCCUCCUCUCCAUCAAGGGCACCCCUAUUGAGUCGUCGUCCGCUCAGUACAUCCUGCAGCAGUACAUGGCGGCGUCCGGCGGCUACAAGAUGCUGCAGUCGGUGAGGAACGCGUACGCCAUGGGCAAGGUGCGAAUGGUGGCGUCCGAGUUCGAGACGGCCACGCGCGUCGUCAAGAACCGCGGCCCGAGCGGCCGCGGCGCCGCCGCGGUCGAGCAGGGCGGCUUCGUGCUCUGGACGAUGGCCCCGGGCAUGUGGUACGUCGAGCUCGCCGUCGGCGGCAGCAAGGUCCACGCCGGCUGCAACGGCCGCCUCGUCUGGCGCCACACCCCCUGGCUCGGCGCCCACGCCGCCAAAGGCCCGGUUCGCCCCCUCCGCCGCGUCCUGCAGGGUCUUGAUCCGCUGACGACGGCCGGGCUGUUCGCGGAGGCGCGGUGCGUGGGCGAGAAGAAGGUGAACGGCGAGGAGUGCUUCAUCCUGAAGCUGUCGGCGGACCCGCAGACGCUGAAGCUGCGCAGCGAGGGGCCGGCGGAGAUCAUCCGGCACGUGCUGUUCGGCUACUUCAGCCAGCGCACGGGGCUGAUGGUGCACAUCGAGGACUCGCACCUGACCCGCAUCCAGCCGCACUCGGGCGGCGACGCCGUGUACUGGGAGACCACCAUCAGCUCGUGCCUGGAGGACUAUCGCGCCGUGGAGGGCAUCAUGAUCGCGCACGCGGGGCGCUCUGCCGUGACGCUGUUCCGGUUCGGCGAGGCGGCCAUGAGCCACACCAAGACGCGGAUGGAGGAGGCGUGGAGCAUCGAGGAGGUGGCCUUCAACGUCCCGGGGCUGUCGGUGGACUGCUUCAUCCCGCCCGCCGACAUCAGGUCCGGCUCCGUGGGCGAGGCCUGCGAGCUGCCGCCGCAACACGGCGACCGCGCCAAGUCCACCGCCGUGCACCCCGCCCGCGUCGCGGCGGCCGCAGAGCGCGCCCACACGCACGGCGCCGGAGGCCGCGGCGAGAAGAUCGUGUGGAGAGUGGAGGUGUGA
rnacentral:rRNA from 1 species